GUAGAUCCAUCUACUUUAUCUGGCUUUACAUGUGAAUCUCCUCAUUCUUCUGAUGAGUCAUUUGACUCCAACUAUAAACUGUUCAAAAAUCAGAAUGGUGAAUUAUUUGCUAGAUAUGUUGGCACUAACUGUAGGAACGGUUCCCCUAUGAAGAAAAUCUGGGUUCCCAAAAGGUGCCUUGAAAAUCUUCAGAUGAAUGUCAUCAUGACACCACCUAUGAAGAAUAGGAAGCAAAGAUCAAAAUCUUCAUAUGGACCAAAUUCUUCAUAUGGAUCCAAGUCCUCAUACGGACCAAAUUCCUCACGUGGAUCAAAAUCCUCAAAAGGAUCAAAGUCCUCAUAUGAACAUCAUCAUGCUAACACUUCUGUUUCGCAGGGAAGAUUUAAGGGCUAUGAAUAUGAGCAUUAUUCUACAAACCAUUAUGUUCAUAAGUCCUCAAAGAAUUUCUCUGCUUAUUCAUAUGCUUACCCUAACUCCUCUUAUGUGAAACAAAGUGGACUGGCAUCUAUGCCA
rnacentral:rRNA from 1 species